rnacentral:rRNA from 1 species
GACGAACGCUGGCGGCGUGCUUAACACAUGCAAGUCGAACGAGACCCCGUCUUCGGGUGGGUGUUCUAGUGGCGAACGGGUGAGUAACACGUGGGCAACCUGCCCCCGGCUCUGGGAUAACUCCAAGAAAUUGGGGCUAAUACCGGAUAUUUCCGCUGACCGCAUGGUCUGGUGGUGGAAAGGGUUUCCGGCUGGGGAUGGGCCCGCGGCCUAUCAGCUUGUUGGUGGGGUAGUGGCCUACCAAGCGACGACGGGUAGCCGGCCUGAGAGGGUGACCGGCCACACUGGGACUGAGACACGGCCCAGACUCCUACGGGAGGCAGCAGUGGGGAAUAUUGCGCAAUGGGCGGAAGCCUGACGCAGCGACGCCGCGUGGGGGAUGACGGCC